rnacentral:rRNA from 1 species
AUUGAACGCUGGCGGCAGGCCUAACACAUGCAAGUCGAGCGAGCGGCGGACGGGUGAGUAAUGUCUGGGGACUGCCCGAUAGAGGGGGAUAACUACUGGAAACGGUGGCUAAUACCGCAUACUAUCGGAUAACCCAUAUGGGAUUAGCUAGUGGGUGGGGUAAAGGCUCACCUAGGCGACGAUCUCUAGCUGGUCUGAGAGGAUGAUCAGCAACACUGGGACUGAGACACGGCCCAGACUCCUACGGAGGCAGCAGUGGGGAAUAUGGCACAAUGGGCGCAAGCCUGAUGCAGCCAUGCCGCGUGUAUGAAGAAGGCCUGAGGUUUGUAAAGUUCUUUCGGUAGCGAGGCGUUAACUACAGAAGAAGCACCGGCUAACUCCGUGCCAGCCGCCGCGGUAAUUC